AGCGAACGUUGGCGGCAUGCUUAACACAUGCAAGUCGCACGAAGGUUUCGGCCUUAGUGGCGGACGGGUGAGUAACGCGUAGGAAUCUAUCCAUGGGUGGGGGAUAACACUGGGAAACUGGUGCUAAUACCGCAUGAUACCUGAGGGUCAAAGGCGCGAGUCGCCUGUGGAGGAGCCUGCGUUCGAUUAGCUAGUUGGUGGGGUAAAGGCCUACCAAGGCGAUGAUCGAUAG
rnacentral:rRNA from 1 species